CGCAUCUGUGCAUGCAGCAUAUCAAUAAGCGGAGGAAAAGUACUACCUACGCUUAGGAUGUUGACGCGCGUGUGUGCGUGAUCUAUACAUGACUCUGCGCAUAUCAAUAAGCGGAGGAAAAGAAACUAACAAGGAUUCCCUUAGUAACGGCGAGUGAAGCGGGAAGAGCUCAAAUUUGAAAUCUUCAAGGUUUUACCUUGACGAAUUGUAGUUUAAAGAAGUGUUUUCUGUUGAAGUUUUGGUAAAAGUUCUUUGGAAUAGGACAUCAUAGAGGGUGAGAAUCCCGUAUUUGACCAUUAUUUUCAGCUGUGUGAUACACUUUCAAAGAGUCGGAUUGUUUGGGAAUGCAGUCCAAAAUGGGUGGUAAAUUUCAUCUAAAGCUAAAUAUUGGCGAGAGACCGAUAGCGAACAAGUACCGUGAGGGAAAGAUGAAAAGAACUUUGAAAAGAGAGUUAAACAGUACGUGAAAUUGUCAAAAGGGAAGCGUUUGACACCAGUGUUGUUUUCUCGAAAAUCAAUUAAAAAGAGUUGGAUUUUGUGUUGUAUUGACCUUAACAGCUUGCUUCACUCUUUUCCAGCUUUUUUUAAUGCACUUUUCGUUUAACAAGUCAACAUCAGUUUCUUUUGUUGUAAAAGGGUCAUUGGAAGGUGGCUUUCUCUUCGGAGAAAGUGUUUAUAGCCUUUGAUCUCUGCAAUCGGAGAGACUGAGGUCUGCAGCGUAGAACCUUCGGGGUUAGAUACAUUUGUGCUAAGCUACAGCUUUUCAUAGACAACUUGUUGACUAUGUUUAGUCUUGUGACUUACCCGCUUAUGCUAUUUUACCUACGCUUAGGAUGUUGACGCGCGUGUGUGCGUG
rnacentral:rRNA from 1 species